CUCUCUCUCUCUCUCUCCCCAACGCAGACCUCAAUUUUCGCCAUCUCUUCCCACGUCUCUUCCCACCGCCAAGUCGUCGUUCACUAGAUUUGCUCCACCGCCGAGUCGCUGGCCGCGUACCUCAUGUUCUCUGCUCCUCUCAUCGAAAUGUCAUGGAUCGAUUGAGCUACGAAUUAAAGAACAUUGAAGUGCUUGCCGCUCUUGGAGAUUGGGGCCACCUGUUUCAGGGUCUUGAAGUUUCUGAACCCCUUUUGGAGAAAGUUGAGAACUUUGGCCUUGUAUUGCUCAUUUGCUAUCUGGGUUUUCUUCUCUGGCCAAAUCAAGAACACAUCACAUCAGAAAAUGCUGCAGAUACCACUCAAAUUACCAUCUGCUGUAAGCAAAAAAGAAGAAGUUGAAGAUAGAGAGAAGAGUGAUAGUAGAAGAAGCAAAUCAAAUGGGCAAUCGGUGCAGCGUAGUUUGCUAAGGACACCAUCAUUGCCACCGUGUUUAGGGAUGCCAGACCUCAGCUCUGUUUGCCCAAAAGACUGAAAUUCAUGAUUGAGAGAAAGAGAGAAGAAAGAAGCACAAGAAUAAAGCAGAGAAAAGGAAGAGGGGGACGGGAAGCAAUCAAAAUCGGUCUGGAUAGGCAAAGAAUUCUUUCUGCAUUCCUUGCCUUGGUCAGAUUGAGGGAAAGCAUGUUGGCAUACGUCGGCUUUGGGUUUAGUUUGUCCUAGAGGGAUUCAAGGGAGGUUCCAUUGAAAUCAAACUUCUUCUGUUUCUUUCUGGAUAAAGGGGUUUAUGAUUGUUAGAUUGGGUUUGUCAUGAACAAGGAGAAGGAAGGUGAUUUUUGGAAUUGCAUUGAGGAAAGCACGAGAGCUGCAGAGAGUUUGGAACACCAAGUAUGGCUCAAGGAAGUACAAUUGCAUGGCCUAUCAAGUACAUCAAGUUGGUUUAGCUAGCAUUGAAACUUUGAGAGUUCAUAUAUCUUCUCCUAAGUUGAGAGCUUGGGUUUUACUUUUGGUGUGAUUGGAGGAAUGGAAAAGCGCUAUGGCCGGAUACUAGCUCUCUCUUUGAGUGUUUGUUGGUUUAUUUUGUGUUUUUAAGUCAUUGAUUGUUUUCAGAAAAGUUGUGCUGAAAUAUUAGGUAAUUGAACUUGUUACUGUUAGUGAAAAAUUGACAUCUUCAUAUAUAUGUUUAACUCAGAUGGUCAUUUGCUAUUCGAUGGUUUGCUGAGUACUUGCUUAUGUUUAUUAUUAACUGUGUUUUACACUCAUAACAGGGACUUCCAGUUUUUGAGGGACUUCCAGAUUUUGAGGUUUAUAUUAACAUGCCCUACUGAUGAUAAAGUGCUCAAAGUUAU